rnacentral:rRNA from 1 species
GACGAACGCUGGCGGCGUGCUUAACACAUGCAAGUCGAACGGAAAGGCCCUGCUUUUGUGGGGUGCUCGAGUGGCGAACGGGUGAGUAACACGUGAGUAACCUGCCCUUGACUUUGGGAUAACUUCAGGAAACGGGGGCUAAUACCGGAUAGGAUCUCCUGCUGCAUGGUGGGGGUGGGAAAUUUUCGGCGGUUGGGGAUGGACUCGCGGCUUAUCAGCUUGUUGGUGGGGUAGUGGCUUACCAAGGCUUUGACGGGUAGCCGGCCUGAGAGGGUGACCGGCCACAUUGGGACUGAGAUACGGCCCAGACUCCUACGGGAGGCAGCAGUGGGGAAUAUUGCACAAUGGGCGGAAGCCUGAUGCAGAAACGCCGCGUGCGGGAUGACGGCCUUCGGGUUGUAAACCGCUUUCGCCUGUGACGAAGCGUGAGUGACGGUAAUGGGUAAAGAAGCACCGGCUAACUACGUG